AGGGGAGAAGCCGAGACUUGGUGCCGGGGGGGGGGUUGCUUCUUCGGGAGCGCUGCCAGAAGCCGUAGGACCACGGGCAAGGACGGCCAUCGUUAAGUUGCUUUGACCCCUCCAAGGUAGAGCAGGGAUAAUAUACAUUUUCUCCCUAAAGGGGUGGUUGGGAUGGGAGUGGUUUAGCCUUUGCCGCCAAGAGAGUUUUGGGGGGAUCCCGAAAGAUUAUCGAAGAGGACUUGGCAUACGUGUUCGUGGAUCGCUGCCCGUGCCACCAAAGUACAUCCGAAAAAAUGCCUCGGAGCAAGGGCGAGUCCCGGAAGGAAGCAGGGAGUUCCAAGCCCACCGCCGGAGCAGGAGAACUAGGAGGCGCAACGAAGCGGUGCUGAAGGUUUGGGACAACUUUAAGACCCUCAAACCCCAUCAGCUUCUGGCAGAACUUUGCAAGCAACGCUGGGCAGAAGGAGGAGGAGGAGGAGAGGAAGGAAAAAGAGAAGGAGAAAGAAAACUAAACCAGGAAGAGAUGGAAGAAAGGCAGCACUAUGUCUGGUUCUCUCCAAAUCCAACAUGUGGCAUUGUUUUAUUUUUCUAUAUAAAGUAUUUCGAUCCUGCUUUUCCAUUUACAAAAAAUUCCACAAUAUGGCUUAAGCGACAACAUUAACGGCAUUCCAACCACAUGGCAACAACAUGGCAGAAAGUGCCCUAAUAAAGCUGAAAAAUAGUGCAACAAGUGCUGUGAUUAAUUAAGAGUUUUUUAAAAAACCACACAAACAAACAAACCCAGAACAGUCUUAAUCUUAUGUAUUUGUUUUGCUUCCAAAAUGGAAAUAAAAUAAUAUAAAACAAAACAAAAAGAUGUUCCAAAGGGAAUCAGUCUUAAUUCCCACUAGAUUGCUAGUACAGGAGAGAGCCUUCUCUGUUAUCACUCCCAGACUUUGGAACUCCCUCCCACAAGAGGCCAGACCUUU